rnacentral:pre_miRNA from 1 species
AGUGGUGCUCAUUUGUCGAAACUGUAAAUAGCCUCAGUUUUGCAUCUGUGUAUUCCUGG